UGCAGGACAAGAUCUUGUAAGAAAUGAAGGGCAAUGUAGGAGGAAAAAGGUGUUAUGUUUCAAAACCCGAUGCAAUGAGCAUUACCGUCCUACAGGAAAAUGUGCAAAGAAUGUUGAAUGCUGCCGCUUAAUGUUGGGAUACAAGGAGCAUCCACCUUGACCUUCUGGGAGAUAUGAAGACCGUAUACUUUUUCUAUAUGGUGUUUGCUCUGCUACUCAUUCCCAAUCCAGGAUUCACUGAUGUUUCAGAUGAAGAAUCAUGCAGGUAUGGUGAUGUGCCAGGGCACUGUGUGUUGAAGAAAUGCCCUGAUGGCUAUGAAGACAUUGGAAAUUGUGGAGGAAAGCUUCGUUGCUGUCAUUACUAUCUAGAUCCUGUAAGAAACAGAAGGCAAUGUAAGAAGAUCGAUGGGUCUUGUCACGAACACUUUUGCCUAGUUGGAUUUUUUCCUAAA